GACAGAGGUGCCAAGCGUUAGGCGGAAUCACUGGGCUUAAAGCGUGUGUAGGCGGAUCGUUAAGUCCCUUGUGAAAUCCCACGGCUCAACCGUGGAACUGCUGGGUAUACUGGCGGUCUUGAGCCACCUAGGGGCGAGCGGAACAAGCGGUUGAGCGGUGAAAUGCGUAGAUAUCGCUUGGAACGCCAACGGUGAAAACAGCUCGCUGGGGGUGUGCUGACGCUGAGACACGAAAGCCAGGGGAGCGAACGGG
rnacentral:rRNA from 1 species